UCAGCACUUAUUUUGAUUAUUUAAUAGUUGCAUGCAGUGGACUGUGCCCGAGACGAUUCCCACUGCGCCGGCGAAUAAUCAGCUUGUAUAAAUGGAAUCUGAAUGCUCACAAGAAGGACAAAAGCAGUAUGAAAAUUAACAAAAAGAAAUUGUGCCAGAAAAGUUUGAAGUGUCUAUGAUAAUGAUCAACAUCGAACUUU